AGGCUUAACACAUGCAAGUCGAGGGGCAUCAGGAAGAAAGCUUGCUUUCUUUGCUGGCGACCGGCGCACGGGUGAGUAACACGUAUCCAACCUGCCCUUUACUCGGGGAUAGCCUUUCGAAAGAAAGAUUAAUACCCGAUAGCAUAAUGAUUCCGCAUGGUUUCAUUAUUAAAGGAUUCCGGUAAAGGAUGGGGAUGCGUUCCAUUAGGUUGUUGGUGAGGUAACGGCCCACCAAGCCUUCGAUGGAUAGGGGUUCUGAGAGGAAGGUCCCCCACAUUGGAACUGAGACACGGUCCAAACUCCUACGGGAGGCAGCAGUGAGGAAUAUUGGUCAAUGGGCGCUAGCCUGAACCAGCCAAGUAGCGUGAAGGAUGAAGGCUCUAUGGGUCGUAAACUUCUUUUAUAUAAGAAUAAAGUGCAGUAUGUAUACUGUUUUGUAUGUAUUAUAUGAAUAAGGAUCGGCUAACUCCGUGCCAGCAGCCGCGGUAAUACGGAGGAUCCGAGCGUUAUCCGGAUUUAUUGGGUUUAAAGGGAGCGUAGGUGGACUGGUAAGUCAGUUGUGAAAGUUUGCGGCUCAACCGUAAAAUUGCAGUUGAUACUGUCAGUCUUGAGUACAGUAGAGGUGGGCGGAAUUCGUGGUGUAGCGGUGAAAUGCUUAGAUAUCACGAAGAACUCCGAUUGCGAAGGCAGCUCACUGGACUGCAACUGACACUGAUGCUCGAAAGUGUGGGUAUCAAACAGGAUUAGAUACCCUGGUAGUCCACACAGUAAACGAUGAAUACUCGCUGUUUGCGAUAUACAGUAAGCGGCCAAGCGAAAGCAUUAAGUAUUCCACCUGGGGAGUACGCCGGCAACGGUGAAACUCAAAGGAAUUGACGGGGGCCCGCACAAGCGGAGGAACAUGUGGUUUAAUUCGAUGAUACGCGAGGAACCUUACCCGGGCUUAAAUUGCAGUGGAAUGAUGUGGAAACAUGUCAGUGAGCAAUCACCGCUGUGAAGGUGCUGCAUGGUUGUCGUCAGCUCGUGCCGUGAGGUGUCGGCUUAAGUGCCAUAACGAGCGCAACCCUUAUCUUUAGUUACUAACAGGUUAUGCUGAGGACUCUAGAGAGACUGCCGUCGUAAGAUGUGAGGAAGGUGGGGAUGACGUCAAAUCAGCACGGCCCUUACGUCCGGGGCUACACACGUGUUACAAUGGGGGGUACAGAAGGCAGCUAGCGGGUGACCGUAUGCUAAUCCCAAAAUCCUCUCUCAGUUCGGAUCGAAGUCUGCAACCCGACUUCGUGAAGCUGGAUUCGCUAGUAAUCGCGCAUCAGCCACGGCGCGGUGAAUACGUUCCCGGGCCUUGUACACACCGCCCGUCAAGCCAUGGGAGCCGGGGGUACCUGAAGUACGUAACCGCAAGGAUCGUCCUAGGGUAAAACUGGUGACUGGGGCUAAGUCAUAA
rnacentral:rRNA from 1 species